CACGUAGGGGGCAAGCGUUGUCCGGAUUCACUGGGCGUAAAGGGCACGUAGGCGGCUUGGCAAAUCGGUCGUGGAAUCCCGACGCUUACCGUCGGAACGGCGGCCGAAAAUACCCGAGCUCGAGGGCGUGAGGGGUCACUGGAACUCCUGGUGAAGCGGUGAAAUGCGUAGAUAUCAGGAGGAACGCCGGAGGCGAAAGCGAGUGACUGGCGCGUUCCUGACGCUGAGGUGCGAAAGCUAGGGGAGCAAACAGG
rnacentral:rRNA from 1 species